AGCCCCAGCUUGCUGGGGUGGAUUAGUGGCGAACGGGUGAGUAACACGUGAGCAACCUGCCCCUGACUCUGGGAUAAGCGCUGGAAACGGCGUCUAAUACCGGAUAUGCACUGUAGCCGCAUGGUUUGCAGUGGGAAAGAUUUAUCGGUUGGGGAUGGGCUCGCGGCCUAUCAGCUUGUUGGUGAGGUAAUGGCUCACCAAGGCGUCGACGGGUAGCCGGCCUGAGAGGGUGACCGGCCACACUGGGACUGAGACACGGCCCAGACUCCUACGGGAGGCAGCAGUGGGGAAUAUUGCACAAUGGGCGCAAGCCUGAUGCAGCAACGCCGCGUGAGGGAUGACGGCCUUCGGGUUGUAAACCUCUUUUAGCAGGGAAGAAGCCUUCGGGUGACGGUACCUGCAGAAAAAGCGCCGGCUAACUACGUGCCAGCAGCCGCGGUAAUACGUAGGGCGCAAGCGUUAUCCGGAAUUAUUGGGCGUAAAGAGCUCGUAGGCGGUUUGUCGCGUCUGCUGUGAAAACUGGAGGCUCAACCUCCAGCCUGCAGUGGGUACGGGCAGACUAGAGUGCGGUAGGGGAGAUUGGAAUUCCUGGUGUAGCGGUGGAAUGCGCAGAUAUCAGGAGGAACACCGAUGGCGAAGGCAGAUCUCUGGGCCGUUACUGACGCUGAGGAGCGAAAGGGUGGGGAGCAAACAGGCUUAGAUACCCUGGUAGUCCACCCCGUAAACGUUGGGAACUAGUUGUGGGGGCCUUUCCACGGUCUCUGUGACGCAGCUAACGCAUUAAGUUCCCCGCCUGGGGAGUACGGCCGCAAGGCUAAAACUCAAAGGAAUUGACGGGGACCCGCACAAGCGGCGGAGCAUGCGGAUUAAUUCGAUGCAACGCGAAGAACCUUACCAAGGCUUGACAUAUACGAGAACGCUGCAGAAAUGUAGAACUCUUUGGACACUCGUAUACAGGUGGUGCAUGGGUUGUCGUCAGCUCCGUGUCGUGAGAUGGUUGGGUUAAGUCCCGCAACGAGCGCAACCCUC
rnacentral:rRNA from 1 species